rnacentral:rRNA from 1 species
UGAGGAAUAUUGGGCAAUGCCCGUAAGGGUGACCCAGCAACGCCGCGUGAAGGAUGAAAGCCGUAAGGUUGUAAACUUCUGUUAGAGGGGAAGAAUAACUAUAAUUAAAAGUUAUAGCUUGACUGUACCCUCAGAGAAAGCCCCGGCUAACUACGUGCCAGCAGCCGCGGUAAUACGUAGGGGGCAAGCGUUGUCCGGAUUUACUGGGUGUAAAGGGCGCGUAGGCGGAGUUUUAAGGCAGAGGGGAAAGCCUGCAGCUUAACUGCAGAACUGCCUUUGAUACUAGUAAUCUUGAGUACGGAAGAGAGAGACGUAAUGCCAGGUGUAGUGGUGAAAUACGUAGAUAUCUGGAAGAACACCAGUUGCGAAGGCGGUCUCUUGGUCCGAAACUGACGCUGAGGCGCGAAAGCGUGGGUAGCAAACA